rnacentral:rRNA from 1 species
GGGUACUGCGGCAGAUCAUUG